AUGGCCGCUGGUCGGUGUUGACGCAAUGUGAUUUCUGCCCAGUGCUCUGAAUGUCAACGUGAAGAGAUUCAUCAAAGCGCGGGUAAACGGCGGGAGUAACUAUGAGUCUGCUUCGCGUCGGCCGCGGUUGUUUUGCGCGCCGACUUUUCCGACGGUCGUGUUCUCCGACGGGUCUGCACCCCUAAGAGACUGUUGAGUGCACCCGGAGACCGCCGCCCUACCCCCGCUGUCCUCCGGAGGGUACCAAGUCCACUACGCACAAUCAGCACAUCUCCAAAACCGUGAGCAGCUGGCCGUUGGGUCCCCCUUCACCCCACAGCGGUCGAUAGUUCUCAGCUGCCGGAGUUAGUGCUCUGUGCUAGUUGGUAGUCCUCGGCACCCUGAACGUUUUUUUUUAAGUCUCUGCGUUGAACCGCGCGAAAACGACACUGGUUCCACUGCCUUACGUUUUUUUUUUCCUUUCUUUUCAAGGCAGCUUAGCCGGCUUUCAAUCCGAAUUUUGCGAGCGGAUUGAAAGUGCCCGCGACUGUGUUUAGUUGCGCCGGCGGUCACCAGGGGCCGGUACGUUCCACCCGUCUUCGUGGAUUUCACCGCCUCUGUCUGACCUGCAGCGGGGGAAACUUUUUCCCAUUCCUUUUUCAUUUUUUUUAUAACUAGCUGUUUCUGAACUGCCUUUCAAUUUGGCUUAAAGCGCCCUCAAGGUUUUCUCGCUAAGGCGACAUUUAAUAGGAAUUUUUUUUAAGUUAAUUUUC
rnacentral:ncRNA from 1 species